UUUCCGUAGGUGAACCCGCGGAAGGAUCAUUAACGUAUAACCGACGUUCGAGGGCUGUCGCUGACCCGAUUGUCUGUGCACGCACGAGUGCCCUCACACGCAUCCAUCUCACCCCUACGUGCACCACCGCGUGAGUCCCCCUGUGGCUCGUUCGGAGGGGGGCUUACGUUUUCACUCAAACUUUGUAUGCACUGAAGAAUGGAUUUUUUGUUUUUUCGAUCAAACAAUCUAUACAACUUUCAACAACGGUCUGGUUGCCUCUCGCAACGAUGAAGAACG
rnacentral:misc_RNA from 1 species